rnacentral:rRNA from 1 species
CGUAGGGUGCAAGCGUUAAUCGGAAUUACUGGGCGUAAAGCGUGCGCAGGCGGUUUUGUAAGACAGUGGUGAAAUCCCCGGGCUCAACCUGGGAACUGCCAUUGUGACUGCAAAGCUAGAGUGCGGCAGAGGGGGAUGGAAUUCCGCGUGUAGCAGUGAAAUGCGUAGAUAUGCGGAGGAACACCGAUGGCGAAGGCAAUCCCCUGGGCCUGCACUGACGCUCAUGCACGAAAGCGUGGGGAGCAAACAGGAUUAGAUACCCUGGUAGUCCACGCCCUAAACGAUGUCAACUGGUUGUUGGGUCUUAACUGACUCAGUAACGAAGCUAACGCGUGAAGUUGACCGCCUGGGGAGUACGGCCGCAAGGUUG